rnacentral:rRNA from 1 species
UACGAAGGGGGCUAGCGUUGCUCGGAAUUACUGGGCGUAAAGCGCACGUAGGCGGAUUGUUAAGUCAGGGGUGAAAUCCUGGAGCUCAACUCCAGAACUGCCUUUGAUACUGGAGAGCUUGAGUCCGGAAGAGGUGAGUGGAACUCCGAGUGUAGAGGUGAAAUUCGUAGAUAUUAGGAAGAACACCGGUGGCGAAGGCGGCCCACUGGCUCGACACUGACGCUGAGGUGCGAAAGCGUGGGGAGCAAACAGG